rnacentral:rRNA from 1 species
AUGUACUCUGAUAACUACUUUGUGAAACUACCUAGGAGGGUCAGUGGAUAUUCUGGUUUGGACUGGGUGCAAGAGACACUAGCCCGAGAUACCCAAUGCUAUAAUAUGUUUAGGGUUGAGAGACCUUUGUUUAACAGGCUACAUAAUACUUUGGUGCAAUCAUAUGGCUUGAAGUCCACUACAAAAAUGACAUCUGUAGAGGCUCUAGCUAUGUUUUUAUGGAUUGUUGGAUCACCACAGUCAGUUUGA